UACGGGGGGAGCAAGCGUUGUUCGGAUUUACUGGGCGUAAAGGGCGCGUAGGCGGCACCGCAAGUCGACUGUGAAAUCUCCGGGCUUAACUCGGAAAGGUCGGCCGAUACUGCGGGGCUAGAGUGCAGAAGGGGCAACUGGAAUUCUCGGUGUAGCGGUGAAAUGCGUAGAUAUCGAGAGGAACACCUGCGGCGAAGGCGGGUUGCUGGGCUGACACUGACGCUGAUGCGCGAAAGCUAGGGGAGCGAACGGG
rnacentral:rRNA from 1 species